rnacentral:piRNA from 1 species
UGGAUUAACAUUGGAGUGCUGGGGUGU